CGUUGAAACACCGGUUCCCGUAAAAUCACCAAAGUUAAGCAACGUCGAUCCUGAUCAGUAACUAGAUGGGUGACCGCUUAGGAAUAGCAGAUUG
rnacentral:rRNA from 1 species